rnacentral:rRNA from 1 species
GAUGAACGCUGGCGGCGUGCCUAAUACAUGCAAGUCGAGCGAACAGACGAGGAGCUUGCUCCUCUGACGUUAGCGGCGGACGGGUGAGUAACACGUGGAUAACCUACCUAUAAGACUGGGAUAACUUCGGGAAACCGGAGCUAAUACCGGAUAAUAUAUUGAACCGCAUGGUUCAAUAGUGAAAGACGGUUUUGCUGUCACUUAUAGAUGGAUCCGCGCCGCAUUAGCUAGUUGGUAAGGUAACGGCUUACCAAGGCAACGAUGCGUAGCCGACCUGAGAGGGUGAUCGGCCACACUGGAACUGGGACACGGUCCAGACUCCUACGGGAGGCAGCAGUAGGGAAUCUUCCGCAAUGGGCGAAAGCCUGACGGAGCAACGCCGCGUGAGUGAUGAAGGUCUUCGGAUCGUAAAACUCUUUUAUUAGGGAAGAACAAAUGUGUAAGUAACUAUGCACGUCUUGACGGUACCUAAUCAGAAAGCCACGGCUAACUACGUG